UAUCUAUUGGUCAUAUCGUAUCAUUCAUUUACUAAUCUCUGUUUUGGUUUUGUUAUAUAUGUACAUGUUUUAGUUAUUAUUGUAUAUUCAUAUAUUUUAAACAAAAAUCAAACCCUGCACGGUGUUAUCAUUAUUUUUAUCCCUUAUGUAUCACUAAUUGCCAAACGCCCUUAUCCCUGUCUUAUAAGCUCCUACACCACUAACACCAUAUUUGGAUGCAAUCACCUACAGUCACAUGAUCACCCUUACCAUCACAAUCAUUCAAACUCACUAUACCAUUGAGUAAGUUAACCUGCAAAUUUGCUUCACUUCACCAAUACGAACGAUGAACAAUAAAGUGCGUAGUGUUGGAAUGUCCCGCAAACAACAAGACCUUUGGUAGGAUAACUUGACUAAUAACAUGUAUAAUAGUUACAUCCUUUCACUGUGUAAUUGGUUAUUUUCAGUUAUUUCAUAAUAAUUUGUUUUCCUCUUGGUCUCACAUUAUUU